GACGAACCGUGCGAACGUUGUUCGGAAUCACUGGGCUUAAAGGGCGCGUAGGCGGUCUGCCAAGUCCGGGGUGAAAGCCCCCAGCUCAACUGGGGAAGUGCCUUGGAUACUGGCGGACUCGAGGGAGGCAGGGGUUGUGGGAACUUCCGGUGGAGCGGUGAAAUGCGUUGAUAUCGGAAGGAACGCCGGUGGCGAAAGCGCACGACUGGACCUCUUCUGACGCUGAGGCGCGAAAGCCAGGGGAGCAAACGGG
rnacentral:rRNA from 1 species